rnacentral:rRNA from 1 species
GACGAACGCUGGCGGCGUGCCUAAUACAUGCAAGUCGAACGCAGUGGGUACGGGUGAGUAACACGUGGGUAACCUCCCAUCAGAGGGGAUAACACUUGGAAACAGGUGCUAAAGCAAUACUUAUGGAUGGAACCGCGUUGCAUUAGCUAGUUGGUGAGGUAACGGCUCACCAAGGCCAAGAUGCAGAGCGGACCUGGGAGGGUGAUCGUCCACACUGGGACUGAGACACGGCCCAGACUCCUACGGGAGGCAGCAGUGGGGAAUUUUGGGCAAUGGGCGAAAGGCUGACCGAGCAACGCGGCGUGGGUGAAGAGGGUUUUCGGAUGGUAAGACUCUGUUGUUAGGGAAGCGGUAUCUAACCAGAAAGCAACGGCUAACUACGUGCCAGCAGCCGCGGUAAUAC